rnacentral:lncRNA from 1 species
UUAAAUUGUCCAACAAUCAGCUCGUGAAAGUUUUUAUAUGUAUUACAUUCUUCAACAAAAAAAAAUGACCAUACUAAAAAAAUGUCACAAUACCACAAUUGCUUAUUAUGACACCAAAAAAUAUGUACAAGAAUUCUUUUGAACUUACUGUCUAACAACUAUUGAAAAUCAACUAUCACCUUAUAACAACAUGACAAAUCAUGGCUGAUCUAGUAUAGUCGUCAACUCCCAAGCCAUUUCUUUUCUUUGCCUUUAUCACACCAUCUCCACAUCCUUGCAACACCACUACUCUAAUCUCUUCCAGUACGAAUGUCUUCAUUUUGUCACCUCCUUUGAAAUAAUCCCACAACUUAAAUCCGUCAACACCAAUCCAAUGCAUUACUGCCAUUGCCUCUA